rnacentral:rRNA from 1 species
UACGUAGGUGGCAAGCGUUGUCCGGAUUUACUGGGUGUAAAGGGCGCGUAGGCGGGAUUGCAAGUCAGAUGUGAAAUGCAUGGGCUCAACCCAUGAACUGCAUUUGAAACUGUGAUUCUUGAGUAUCGGAGAGGCAAGCGGAAUUCCUAGUGUAGCGGUGAAAUGCGUAGAUAUUAGGAGGAACACCAGUGGCGAAGGCGGCUUGCUGGACGACAACUGGCGCGGAGGCGCGAAAGCGUGGGGAGCAAAC